rnacentral:rRNA from 2 species
GCAAUGGACGAAAGUCUGACGGAGCAACGCCGCGUGAACGAUGAAGGCCUUCGGGUCGUAAAGUUCUGUUGUUAGGGAAGAACAAGUACCAGAGUAACUGCUGGUACCUUGACGGUACCUAACCAGAAAGCCACGGCUAACUACGUGCCAGCAGCCGCGGUAAUACGUAGGUGGCAAGCGUUGUCCGGAAUUAUUGGGCGUAAAGCGCGCGCAGGUGGUUUCUUAAGUCUGAUGUGAAAGCCCACGGCUCAACCGUGGAGGGUCAUUGGAAACUGGGGAACUUGAGUGCAGAAGAGGAAAGUGGAAUUCCAAGUGUAGCGGUGAAAUGCGUAGAGAUUUGGAGGAACACCAGUGGCGAAGGCGACUUUCUGGUCUGUAACUGACACUGAGGCGCGAAAGCGUGGGGAGCGAACAGGAUUAGAUACCCUGGUAGUCCACGCCGUAAACGAUGAGUGCUAAGUGUUAGAGGGUUUCCGCCCUUUAGUGCUGC